AACGAACGCUGGCGGCAGGCUUAACACAUGCAAGUCGAACGCCCCGCAAGGGGAGUGGCAGACGGGUGAGUAACGCGUGGGAAUCUACCCAGUUCUACGGAACAACUGAGGGAAACUUCAGCUAAUACCGUAUACGCCCUACGGGGGAAAGAUUUAUCGGAAUUGGAUGAGCCCGCGUUAGAUUAGCUAGUUGGUGGGGUAAUGGCCUACCAAGGGGACGAUCUAUAGCUGGUCUGAGAGGAUGAUCAGCAACACUGGGACUGAGACACGGCCCAGACUCCUACGGGAGGCAGCAGUGGGGAAUAUUGGACAAUGGGCGCAAGCCUGAUCCAGCCAUGCGGCGUGAGUGAUGAAGGCCUUAGGGUUGUAAAGCUCUUUCAGUGGGGACGAUAAUGACGGUACCCACAGAAGAAGCCCCGGCUAACUUCGUGCCAGCAGCCGCAGUAAAAC
rnacentral:rRNA from 1 species